AGCAGCCGCGGUAAUUCCAGCUCCAAUAGCGUAUAUUAAAGUUGUUGCAGUUAAAAAGCUCGUAGUUGAAUUUCGGGAUCAUCAGGUUGGUCGUGCCUCUGGUAUGUACUGAUUUCGAUGGUUCCUCCUUCUUGAAGAACCGUAAUGCCAUUAAUUUGGUGUUGCGGGGAAACAGGACUGUUACUUUGAAAAAUUAGAGUGUUUAAAGCAGGCAAUCGCUUGAAUACAUUAGCAUGGAAUAAUGAAAUAGGACGUUCGAUCCUAUUUUGUUGGUUUCUAGGAUUGACGUAAUGAUUAAUAGGGAUAGUUGGGGGCAUUAGUAUUCAAUUGUCAGAGGUGAAAUUCUUGGAUUUAUUGAAGACUAACUACUGCGAAAGCAUUUGCCAAGGAUGUUUUCAUUAAUCAAGAACGAAAGUUAGGGGAUCGAAGACGAUCAGAUACCGUCGUAGU
rnacentral:rRNA from 1 species